UUGGUGGCUCUGUUUAGAUAAUGUCGAGGAGAGAGAGAGAGAGUUUGAGAGGUGGAGUAGAGGAGACAAUUCCUUCUGUUCAUGUGGAUUCCGAGAUAUUCCACCGCUCGAUCUUAUUUUCUCUUCUCUUUCUCUUCGUUCCCUGGCUGCCGCGGUCGGUUGUUCUUGUCUCUCGCCCUCGCAGGUAUGAUUUUGCUUGUGUUGUAGCUGUGUAGCUUCAAAAUCUAGGCUGAGUUUCUUGUUUGGAUCCGUGGCAAGUGCAUGUUGCGGCCAUGUUGUAGUCUGCCAUUUUGCUCCCCUUCUACUUGCCUGAGAUGGGUGAUUUGUUCUGUCAGUCAUCGGGUAUUCUAGGUCAUCUGGUCGUUGUGGUCGUUUUCACCCCUGCUGAUUUGUUUCCUCUACCGUAGAUGUAGAGGUAGGCGAAGUUGUAGUUGUAGUGGUGGAUUCCCCUGUCGAUUUUAUUUCUGCUGGCCUGGGUGUCUAUUCCGCCUGCAUUUUUAUCGGUAGAUGUAGUUGUAGAUGGCUUGGCCUGGGAUUCUACUGGCUUAUGCAAUGUGGAUGUAGUAGCUAAUUUGUGUAUCCUUCCUCUGAAUUUGUUUGCCCUUCCUAGUUUGAUUUUGGCCCGGCCCUUUCUGAUGUAGAUGUAGGUGCUAUUUGUUUAAGUUUCCGGCUCUAUUAUGGUUUCUGAAUUGUUGACUCCUUAUGUGUUUUACCUGCACAUGUUUGCUCUUGGUAGUUUCUGAAUCCCUCAUGAAUUUUUCUUGUUAGAUAUAGGUGUUCAGUUUCCCUGGUUCCUGAAUCUCAAUGAAUUUGUGUGUACUAGGCCUGUAGUGCUGAUGUAGUGUCAGUCCAUGGAUUUUUCUUAUUUUUGUCAGUGCAAUAUACCUCAGAAUUGAAGUGUAAUGUAUCCCAUAAUUGGAGUGUGAUCCCCAUGCUUCUUUAUUGUAAUUAUAGUGUAAUGUACCCUAAAAUUAUAGUGUAUUCUAUCUCAGAUGGCACUGUAUAUGCCUAAAAUUGCAUUUUAAUUUACUAACCCCAGAUUUACAGUGUAAUAUACCCUAGAUUUUCACUGUAUUUUGUAUGCUUCAGGACUGUAAUUGUUGCAUAGUUACACUGUAUUAUUUCCCAGUUUUACACUGUAAUUUGCAUGGUACAACACUGUAAUUGUUGUAGGGCUUUCAGUUCAGUUUGUGUUAGAUAGACUACUUUCAAAUGCUUCAUCACUGUAGUAUACCCUAGAUUUUCUCUGUAAUUUAUAUGCUUGAGAACUGUAAUUGUUAUAUGCUUCAGAUAGAUUACAUCGGCUUCUUCGUCUGGGCUUACACUGUAGUAUACCAUAGUUUUACACUAUAAUUUGUAUGGUUCGACAUUGUAUUUGUUGUAGGUAUUUGCGAGGUAGAUUACAGUGGAUUUUACCUUUGAAUUGGAGGGCUUACACUGUAAUUUACUGCAGAUUUACACUGUAAUUUGAAUGCUUCAACACUGUAUUUGUUGUAGGGCUUACAACGUAUUUGUCAGAUAGAUCACAGUUGAUUUACCUCUGAUUUUGCAGCGUAAUUAGCAUGCUUUUAGGACUGCAAUUCAUGUAUUUUCUUGCUUUUUUAUUUUUCUUAUUUUCUUGUGCUAGUGUGUCUCUGUUGAAGUAGUAUUGAGCAGAGUUCCUGUUUUAGGUUGAUGAUUGUUUUUGUGUUCUUUCUAGAUUUGUCUAGUAAAUAGCGUUGCGUUAGCUGUUCAUGUGUAUUCUUUAAUGAAGUGUAUGGAGAUUUGUUCUACUAUUUUACUUCUUUUCUUUUUCCUCCUUCAUGUAUUCUGUUUAUAUGUUUUAUUUAGUUUAAUGAGUAGGCUACGGAAAGUCUCUCAUCCGGAUGUUUGGUUAGUAUCAUCUCUUGAGAAUGCAGAUUCUGUGGGUGAACCUAUUGUGCCUAACGACUUUGCAGAAGAUGGUUCUUAUCCUAUGUCUACGGAACUAUCUGGUGAUGAAGGGGGGUUUGACAAAUCUCUUUUGAAGUUCUAUCUGAAUCAAGUGUGUUUUCCAUUUCUUGUACUAUUUUGAUUUUGUUUUGGGUAUUUUCUUUGGGUGGCCCUUGUGUUUUUGUCAUUUCAGAAAGUAAAAUGCCUGAAAGGAAAUUAUCAUCCGCUUCCAUGUUCAUAGGCCCAUCUCCAGAGUGUACCUGCAAGCAAAAGGGCAAUUUUUUUUCUAUAGUUGUGCUUUUCUCAGAUUGGUAGCUCUGUGGUAUUUGAAUUUUGCUUUUACCAUGAAUAAUGUCGGAAUGUAGAAGCGCGGUGAUAGAAAAUGUGUCCUGCGGCAUAUUUGUUGUGAGCUUUCAUUAUUAUUUAUGUAUUUAGAAUGUUCCUAUAUUGUCUUUCAACAUAUUCUGAAACAAAUGUGUAACUCACAUUUAGAAUGAGUUCUUCCUGUGACAAUCUCA